GAUGAACGCUGGCGGCGUGCUUAACACAUGCAAGUCGAACGGAAAGGCCCAAGCUUGCUUGGGUACUCGAGUGGCGAACGGGUGAGUAACACGUGGGUGAUCUGCCCUGCACUUCGGGAUAAGCCUGGGAAACUGGGUCUAAUACCGGAUAGGACGAUGGUUUGGAUGCCAUUGUGGAAAGUUUUUUCGGUGUGGGAUGAGCUCGCGGCCUAUCAGCUUGUUGGUGGGGUAAUGGCCUACCAAGGCGUCGACGGGUAGCCGGCCCGAGAGGGUGUCCGGCGUCAUUGUGGCUGUGAUACGGCCCAGACUCCUGUACGGGGGAGCAGUGUGGGGUAUAGCGCAAUGUGGGCAAGCAUCAGGCAGCGACGCCGCGUGUGGGAGAUCGGCCUUCGCGUUGUAAACUCCUUUCUCUCGGGACGAAGAGUGUUAGUGACGGUACCUGGAGAAGAAGCACCGGCUAACUACGUG
rnacentral:rRNA from 1 species